ensembl:lncRNA
UUACUGAUAUGGAUGAUGGUUUAUUUGCUGGCAAUGCACGUUGUCCCAUAUCACAAAAAGCAGAAGCAUUAACAACAUAGAUAUUUCAAUUACAAUUUGAUUCAGAUACAAUUGUAGGUUAUGUUUAGUGACUAAAAUCAUUACUGCAUCAAGUGAGUUUAACUGCCUUUGAAGUUACAUGGUAUUGGUGUUGUGAUGUCUUGGCUAUGUAAUGCUAAGCUCUGUAAUGCUAGGCUAACUAUGUAAUCCAAAGCUAUUUUGACAGGAAUACUAAUCAUCUGUCAUACAUCAAAUGAAACCCCUCCCUCUCAUGCUUUCAUGGGAAUGCCAGGUACAACGGAGUGCCAUUGUUGCCUGUAUUCAGACUUUUUCCAAUGACACUGAUGCCGGCCUUCUCAUAAGGACCCUUUGCUCCAACCGUGAUCAUAGUGAGGGUUGAGAUGGGAUGAUCUGAACCCUUCUUGUACCAGAGGUAGAUCUGGUUGCCUCCUGCUCCUUCAUUGAGGUUAGCACUAAGACUGGUAUAGCCCCUUUGCUGAAGGUUUUCCUCCUCUUUGUUGUUAGUAGAGACAUCCAGGUCACUAAAACCUUCUUCGGCCGAUUCGGAACAACGAUACCAGAUGAAGCCGGAGUUAUCUUUAUUUUUUUCUCCCUUUCGAUUCACAUCUUCAUCCACACGGGUGUAGCCAUCGUUAAAAAGAACCCCAUCCGUUCCAAAACUAGUGGUGACAGUGAUGUCAGAGAUGUACAUUUUCUUCUCUUUCAGCGCCCAGAGAUGGAUUUGGUUCCCACAACAGUUGCGAUUCAGAUCAGACGCCAGUCGUUCCCAGCCAUUUUUGAAAAAUGGGGCUUCAUCUUCCACAUCUGUGGUGACCUUGAGUUCCAAUAUAGGGUUGUCAUACUCAGUUGUACCUUUGUAGUACCACAGAAAGAUGCCAACUCCACAAUUCCCUGCGUUGAGGUUUCCAUCUACCUGAAUAUAACCUGCAUUUCUCAAACCCUUGUUCAUGUCAUCCAUGAAUGCAACCUGCAAUCUGGUGAUGGGAUCACAUGUGCCUUUCUUGUACCAGAGGUAAACCUUGUUUCCUCCUGCACCUUGGUUCAGAUCAACAUAAUCUGACUUGAAACCUUGAUUGCGUAGGGCUUGCUCCUGAUCGACAUUGAUUGAAACAGCAAGUUCUGUGAUGUACGUCAUCCUGAGUUUGUUGUCUGGACAAGAUGUUGAAGGUAUCUGUACAAAACAUGAAAGUGUGUGUUUAAUAUUUAAACCAAAAAAUGCUAAUGUAGCUAACAGUCUGGAAACCUUUUUUUUAUGUGCAAAGAAGUCUCUACUGAUGCCUUUUUUUAUCAAUCAUAAUUGGUAAAGUUAGAGCAAGCUGACAUUCACUGGCUUCAAAAUACUCAUUGUAAAUGGAAGAAAAUGAUUACUAGGGAGGUACAGCCCAACUGGCUGGGUAAGAGCCUAGAGCCAAGGUGAUGUGUUUAUGUGAUGCUAUGUUAUGUUAGACGAGCUUGCUAGAUGCAAGAGC